AUACGGAGGACGCGAGCGUUGUCCGGAAUGAUUGGGCGUAAAGGGCGCGUAGGCGGCCCGGUAAGUCUGGAGUGAAAGUCCUGUUUUUAAGAUGGGAAUUGCUUUGGAUACUGUCGGGCUUGAGUGCACGAGAGGUAAGUGGAAUUCCCAGUGUAGCGGUGAAAUGCUUAGAGAUUACACAGAACACCGAUUGCGAAGGCAUCUCACGAAGGGUUGAUUGACGCUGAGGCACGAAAGCGUGGGGAUCAAACAGGAUUAGAUACCCUGGUAGUCCACGCAGUAAACGAUGAUGGCUAACCGCUGGGCUUAUCAGUUCAGUGGCCAAGCGAAAGCGAUAAGCCAUCCACCUGGGGAGUACGACCGCAAGGUUGAAACUCAAAGGAAUUGACGGGG
rnacentral:rRNA from 1 species